CAGCAUCUCUUGCCAUCUCGCCUCUCUUCCCAGUUCAACAGUUUUGGACAACUCGAGAAAUUCAGGUUGGCCAGGAAGGCUACAGAAGCCGACCCUGGAUGACUUAAAUAAAAAAAGAAGAGUGAAUUGAAUGAAUGCGUCAAUUCACAGUCAUGAUGGCAAAACCGAAGAACAGGUUGAGAGGAUGGUCGGAGCCAUGGGAGAGAAAGGCGGUCAGAAUCACAACACAAAUCAGACCACAGUGCAGCCUGAGACAUCAGAAAGAAUCUCUACUGCUCUUGCUUCUCUGUCGCCGCCUCCAGAGUCAAAGCCCCAGGGGAAACAGCCAACUGGCCCCAGUUCCCAUGAAGUGAGGAGGAGCUGGUGUCUGAGCUGAGUCCUAACCGGUCGAGAGGUUUUUCCAUCAGACCUGUCUGUGCUUUUCAAACCGUGCUCUUAAAGUCCCACAUUUUCAAGAUGAAGCUGUGGGGUCUUCCAUGAAGCCGGGAAGAAGAAGUUGAGCAGGUGGGCCAUCGUUCAUGUAUAUCUUGAAUUUCCUUAUAAGAAAUGUUCUCAAAGACGGGAACUCCCACACACACAGGUGCUGGACUCAAACAGGUCUAAAUUUCAGCUCUGCACUGACUAAGUAAGUAUAUGGGCAAGUUGUAUAAUCUCUAUGGAUCUAUUUUCUCAUCAGUUAGAAUGAAGAUGGUAAUAAGAGCUUCAGAGAACUAUUUCAUAGAACAUCAAAGCAUAGUGAGGAGCUGGUGAGAUAAGAUAUGUGGAAAGUAUGUGGCACAUAGUGGGAGCUUAGCAAAAGUUUCUUUUCAAACUUUUCUCCUUCCUUCCUUCCUUCCCUCCUUCCUCUUUCCCUCUCUUCUAACCCCACUUUGAGGGCAGCUGGUGCUGAUCUGGAUGUGAACAGAGGAUGGUCCACAUUGUGGAAGUUUUUGUCCUUCUACGUCAUUGUGCCUGCCCUUGAACCCAGAGAAGGAGUGAUGGCUCAUAAGAAGAUGCCAGCAGGAGUGGGAGUACUCCUUGAGAGAGGUGCCCUCACUUUCCCCAGUGGAUGAACCUGGGAUGACUUUGGCUGCCACCUGAGGACCUGUAAUCCUGGGACCAUGGAAUGCAGGCUCUCACAUCAAGCCUGAAGUUGGGAAUCAGAAGCAAUGCUCCUCUUUCUUGUUCUCUGCAGAGCAGACUCAUGGCUCACACCAUCCUAAGUGUGAAGUGGGGAUCUGUAUCUAGUGUAGUCAGAAGCUUUUAGCGACAGGUUCAAGGCACAGGACUCAAAUUGGUUUAAGCAUAGAGAAAGCUCCACAACCUCAAAUCUGAAUGGCUUCAGAAUCUGUCUCUCCAUCUCUGCUCUACUUUUGCAGGUGUUCCUAGCAUGGCAAGGUAGUAACUAACAGUUCCAGGAUUAUUUUCUACCAGGUUAAUAACCACAGCAAAAAGACAGCACCCCUUUCCUACGGGAGCCAGCAAGAUUUCCAGAACUGUGUCUGUCAGUCUGGUUGAGUCAUCCAUCCAUCCCUGAACCCAUCAUUAUGGGCAGUCAUCUGAUUGGCCAGGCCUCCUCCGGGAAGGGGAGGUGGAUCGAGGAGGAGGAAGAAAUGGUCCCAAAGAUAAAUCUGGGGGCUGGCAUCAAAAGAAGGAAUCAAAGUAAGCAAAAACAAUAGGCAUUUACUCUAGGCUCAGUACUUUUAUGCCUUUUAAAUUAAAAUAUCAAGACUUUACAAGGAAAGGCCAUGUUACAACCUGGGAAAUAGGUAUAAGGUCUUCUCAGGCUCAGGGGAAAUCUAAUGAUUAACUAGUUUGCUUCUCAGUAAUAAAAAGAAUAAAUUGAAGGUAAGUUUUUUACUUCACCAGUGCAGUUAUUAAGUUCUAGGGAUAUAACUUGUUUCCAUCCCAAUGCAAACAAGUCAUUUAAUUGGCAAUCAUUGAAAAAUGCCAUGAAGUUGCGUGUGAUGGC
rnacentral:lncRNA from 9 species